rnacentral:rRNA from 1 species
AUACUUAGGGUGCAAGCGUUAAUCGGAAUUACUGGGCGUAAAGCGCUCGUAGGCGGCUUGUUAAGUCGGAUGUGAAAUCCCCGGGCUCAACCUGGGAACUGCAUUCGAUACUGGCAGGCUAGAGUAUAGUAGAGGCAAGUGGAAUUCCGGGUGUAGCGGUGAAAUGCGUAGAUAUCCGGAGGAACAUCAGUGGCGAAGGCGACUUGCUGGGCCAAUACUGACGCUGAGGUGCGAAAGCGUGGGGAGCAAACAGGAUUAGAAACCCCAGUAGUCC